rnacentral:rRNA from 1 species
AUUGAACGCUGGCGGCAUGCCUUACACAUGCAAGUCGAACGGCAGCACGGGUGCUUGCACCUGGGGGCGAGUGGCGAACGGGUGAGUAAUACAUCGGAACAUGUCCUGUAGUGGGGGAUAGCCCUGCGAAAGCCGGAGUAAUACCGCAUACGAUCUACGGAUGACAGCGGGGGACCUUCGGGCCUCGCGCUAUAGGGUUGGCCGAUGGCUGAUUAGCUAGUUGGGGGGGUAAAGGCCUACCAAGGCGACGAUCAGUAGCUGGUCUGAGAGGACGAGCAGCCACACUGGAACUGAGACACGGCCCAGACUCCUACGGGAGGCAGCAGUGGGGAAUUUUGGACAAUGGGCGAAAGCCUGAUCCAGCAAUGCCGCGUGUGUGAAGAAGGCCUUCGGGUUGUAAAGCACUUUUGUCCGGAAAGAAAUCCUUGGCCCUAAUACGGUCGGGGGAUGACGGUAACGGAAGAAUAAGCACCGGCUAACUACGUG